rnacentral:rRNA from 1 species
CCUACGGGAGGCAGCAGUGAGGAAUAUUGGUCAAUGGACGAGAGUCUGAACCAGCCAAGGAGCGUGAAGGAUGAAUGCCCUAUGGGUUGUAAACUUCUUUUAUAAAGGAAUAAAACGCGGCACGUGUGACAUUUUGCAUGUACUUUAUGAAUAAGGCUCGGCUAACUCUGUGCCAGCAGCCGGGGUAAUACGGAGAUUCCGAGCGUUAUCCGGAUUUAUUGGGUUUAAAGGGAGCGUAGAUGGGUUGUUAAGUCAGUUGUGAAAGUUUGCGGCUCAACCGUAAAAUUGCAAUUGAUACUGGCAGUCUUGAGGACAGUUGAGGUAGGCGGAAUUCGUGGUGUAGCGGUGAAAUGCUUAGAUAUCACGAAGAACCCCGAUUGCGAAGGCAGCUUACUAAACUGUGACUGACAUUGAUGCUCGAAAGUGUGGGUAUCAAACAGGAUUAGAUACCCUUGUAGUC